rnacentral:lncRNA from 1 species
GAAGAGAAGUCAUUCAGUUAAUUUUCCGGGUUGUACAUUAUCUUUAUCAAACAUCUGUAUAGCCAAUCAUGAAUAUUUACAUACGGAAAUAUACACUACAGGAUUUUGAAGAUGAACCGUACACAUCUACGGAUUCUUUUUAUUGAAACGUUUGCUGAAAAAAAUAUAAUGACUACAAUUAAGUUCGAAAGUCUGGUUAAAUGGGAUCAAAUAUUGAAAACAUGCCACAAUAUCAUAUAUACCUACCAAUUGUCACUAUUUACGCGGAUAAUCCCAAUGGAGGCUCCCAAAUGUUAAUUUUGAAAGAUCCAUUUUCUCCACUAUUUUAAACAAAACAAUCAUUAUUUACAAUAAAAUAUAAAGAAGCCAAAAAACAACAAAAAACAACAAAAAAAAACCAACAAAAAACGACCACAUUAAAAUAUAUUUGAAGGUUUUGUAAGACUAUAAGAGUCAUCUUGCACGUAGACCUCCAUGGGCAUUUUGAAAGUUGGAAGGUAUGCAAUAUCAACAUACAACUUUAAAUUACGUGCAAUCAUUGUUUGAGUUUUCAAUUAUCUGUUGUUGGAAUGGAGAACAUAAAAAGGUGCUGUAUUUUGUACAUAUUGAUGGAGAAGACUAAUUUACAAAGUCUUGAAAAAAAAAACAGUUGACGAAAUUCCAGGGCGCACAGAUCACAUAUACGUGUCAAUUUUCUUCGAAGUUUAAGGGAUCUAGGUUGAAAACUGUAGGAGGAGUCGGUUACACAACAUAGGGAACCAAUUUUUCACCCUUUCACGAAAACAAUAUACCAUCAGAUGGCUAUUAGACUUUUAAAAUUCAUGCAGAAAAGGAGUAAUUUAUUCAGUGAAAUAGAAUUGUAGCCUGAUUAGUAUCAUUAAGGCAUGUACUGUAAAGAGAACAAUGUUUACUUUUUACCACCAUAUAAAGGCUGUAAGUAUGCGAUAUAUUUAUUUGAAAUUCAUCCUUAUUUCAAGAAAUUUACAGGGAAUUCAUUUGUAUAUGUAUUUUUAAGUUUUAAUUUUUAUGUGGAUAAACAUGAAGUUUAUUACAUCGAUUUAUUUAUAAAGUCCCUAUUCAUAAUGCAAACGAAAUUUAAAUUGAAUAAACUUCUUUAUUGAAUGUCAGAAGUAUCUUUUACUUUUUAGAAACAGGUGACAUCUUAAUAUCAGCAGGAACAUUGGGAGACAUAAAAUUGAAAAUAAAUAAAUAUAUAUAUUUAACAAAUCGUAUUUGCACUUAUAGAAACAUAUCUCGGCAAAAAAUUUUAAAAACCUAUUACUGUUGUGCGUAAACAAAUGUCUAUUGUUACUUUUUUUUUAUGAAUGACGAUUUUAUGUGUGAGAAAGUGAUGAAAGUAGUGAAGGCCUUCACGAUAAUAAAAGUUGGUAAAUGUUGAGAUGCGGGAGAGUUGAGGAUAGUUAAUGAGAGUGAAUGGAUGUGUCUAUAUUUCAAACAAUGUAAAUUAUUUGAAGUGUAUAUUUUUGAACCUGUUUAUAAUAAGUAUGUAUAUCUGAACACGAGUCUUAAAAGCCUGUGCCUUAUAACAGCUCCGUGACAUUAUGGUGGCCAGCGACGGGAUUUAUUUUGGAUUUUAAUUAAACAUUUUGGACUUUAACUGUUAACCCUUCAAUAUGCUACCUAAAGGACGACCAAGAAGAAACAGAUAGGAAGAGAGGAAUGUUACAUCGGGACAAAAUAACAGUUUCAGACGCAAUCAAUAACAGCAAUUUUGAAGACAAGACCGAAGAUCUCUCUGAACAAAUGAAAGUCUUAAAAGCCCGUGCCUUAUAACAGCUCAGUGACAAUAAUAUCAGUCAAAUUAAAGAAAGUGUAGUAGAUCAUAUUGUUCAGAAUCUUGAAAACAGUAUCUUUUGAAGUUCAUUUUUCAAAGCCCACGUGGUGUUCAGAGAAUCAAGGUAAAAAACGAAAGUAGAAUAUUGUCGACUCGACCUAAAAAAAAUAACAUUUCCAAAUGAUUUAUGUAUCCGACUUAUUUAACAAUUUACAAAAAAAGAGAAAAUCAGAGGAUAUAUCAAUUUCUGUCAAUGGUUGAGAAAUAAUUGUAUGAAUUAAAUACGCGUAACAGUUCUUAGAGAGAAAAGGGGGGG